UCCAGGGUAGCUUAGUGGACAUGGCAUCUGCCCGGUAAGCGGAACAUUGUGGGUUCGAUUCCCAUCCCUGGAC